ACGGGAGGCAGCAGUGGGGAAUAUUGCACAAUGGGCGAAAGCCUGAUGUAGCGACGCCGCGUGAGUGAAGAAGUAUCUCGGUAUGUAAAGCUCUAUCAGCAGGGAAGAAAAUGACGGUACCUGACUAAGAAGCCCCGGCUAACUACGUGCCAGCAGCCGCGGUAAUACGUAGGGGGCAAGCGUUAUCCGGAUUUACUGGGUGUAAAGGGAGCGUAGACGGUUUGGCAAGUCUGAAGUGAAAUGCGGGGGCUCAACUCCUGAACUGCUUUGGAAACUGUCGAACUAGAGUGCAGGAGAGGUAAGUGGAAUUCCUAGUGUAGCGGUGAAAUGCGUAGAUAUUAGGAGGAACACCAGUGGCGAAGGCGGCUUACUGGACGGUAACUGACGUUGAGGCUCGAAAGCGUGGGGAGCAAACAGGAUUAGAUACCCUGGUA
rnacentral:rRNA from 1 species